rnacentral:rRNA from 1 species
UACGGAGGGUGCAAGCGUUAAUCGGAAUUACUGGGCGUAAAGCGCACGCAGGCGGUCUGUCAAGUCGGAUGUGAAAUCCCCGGGCUCAACCUGGGAACUGCAUUCGAAACUGGAAGACUGGAGUGCAGAAGAGGAGAGUGGAAUUCCACGUGUAGCGGUGAAAUGCGUAGAGAUCUGGAGGAAUACCGGUGGCGAAGGCGGCCCCCUGGACGAAGACUGACGCUCAGGUGCGAAAGCGUGGGGAGCAA